UACGGAGGGUGCAAGCGUUAAUCGGAAUUACUGGGCGUAAAGCGCGCGUAGGCGGCUUUGUAAGUUAGAGGUGAAAGCCCGGAGCUCAACUCCGGAACUGCCUUUAAGACUGCAUCGCUUGAAUCCAGGAGAGGUGAGUGGAAUUCCGAGUGUAGAGGUGAAAUUCGUAGAUAUUCGGAAGAACACCAGUGGCGAAGGCGGCUCACUGGACUGGUAUUGACGCUGAGGUGCGAAAGCGUGGGGAGCAAACAGG
rnacentral:rRNA from 1 species